GGGAAUUUUGGACAAUGGGCGCAAGCCUGAUCCAGCCAUUCCGCGUGAGUGAAGAAGGCCUUCGGGUUGUAAAGCUCUUUCGCAAGGGAAGAAAACUUACUCAAUAACACUGGGUGAGGCUGACGGUACCUUGAUAAGAAGCACCGGCUAACUACGUGCCAGCAGCCGCGGUAAUACGUAGGGUGCGAGCGUUAAUCGGAAUUACUGGGCGUAAAGCGUGCGCAGGCGGUUUUGUAAGUCAGAUGUGAAAGCCCCGGGCUCAACCUGGGAACUGCGUUUG
rnacentral:rRNA from 1 species